rnacentral:pre_miRNA from 1 species
AGUGGAAUAACUGAGUCAAAUGGUGGGUUCUAUUUAAAGUUUUGUGAGGAAUCUCCAUACUGCUUUCCAGAAGGGUUGCACCAAUUUGCAGUCCCACCAGCAAU